GACGAACGCUGGCGGCGUGCCUAAUACAUGCAAGUCGAACGGAGGGGGGACGGGUGAGUAGCACGUGGGUAACCUCCCAUCAGAGGGGAUAACAGUUGGAAAAAGGUGCUAAAGCGAUACGGAUGGAGGGAGCCGGGGUGCAUUAGCUAGUUGGUGGGGUAACGGCUCACCAAGGCCACGAUGCCUAGCCGACCUGAGAUGGUGAUCGGCCACACUGGAACUGAGACACGGCCCAGACUCCUACGGGAGGCAGCAGUAGGGAAUCUUCGGCAAUGGACGAAAGUCUGACCGAGCAACGCCGCGUGAGUGAAGAAGGUUUUCGGAUCGUAAAACUCUGUUGUUAGAGAAGCGGUAUCUAACCAGAAAGCCACGGCUAACUCCGUGCCAGCAGCCGCGGUAAUAC
rnacentral:rRNA from 1 species